GACGAACGCUGGCGGCGUGCUUAACACAUGCAAGUCGAACGGAAAGGCCCUGCUUUUGUGGGGUGCUCGAGUGGCGAACGGGUGAGUAACACGUGAGUAACCUGCCCUUGACUUUGGGAUAACUUCAGGAAACUGGGGCUAAUACCGGAUAGGAGCUCCUGCUGCAUGGUGGGGGUUGGAAAGUUUCGGCGGUUGGGGAUGGACUCGCGGCUUAUCAGCUUGUUGGUGGGGUAGUGGCUUACCAAGGCUUUGACGGGUAGCCGGCCUGAGAGGGUGACCGGCCACAUUGGGACUGAGAUACGGCCCAGGCUCCUACGGGAGGCAGCAGUGGGGAAUAUUGCACAAUGGGCGGAAGCCUGAUGCAGCAACGCCGCGUGCGGGAUGACGGCCUUCGGGUUGUAAACCGCUUUCGCCUGUGACGAAGCGUGAGUGACGGUAAUGGGUAAAGAAGCACCGGCUAACCACGUG
rnacentral:rRNA from 1 species